rnacentral:rRNA from 1 species
UACAGAGGGUGCUAGCGUUGUUCGGAAUCAUUGGGCGUAAAGGGCGUGUAGGCGGUUUGCUAAGUCAUGUGUGAAAAUCCCUCGGCUUAACCGGGGGAACGACGCAUGAAACUGGCAAGCUAGAGUACCAAAGAGGGGGGUGGAAUUCCCGGUGUAGCGGUGAAAUGCGCAGAUAUCAGGAGGAACACCGGUGGCGAAGGCGGUUCUCUGGGCAUUACCUGACGCUGAGGAGCGAAAGUGUGGGGAGCGAACAGG